rnacentral:rRNA from 1 species
UAUAUUAUUUGAAGUUUGAGUUUUAAUUAUUUUAUUAAAAAAAGUUUUAAGAUUUUAAAAAUUUAGUAUUAUUUUGAAAAAUUAUUAAAUUGAUAUUAUAAGUAUUGUGAAAGAAAAUUAUUUAAAAUUAUAAAAUUUAUUAAAAUUUUUGUACCUUUUGUAUCAGGGUUUAUUAAAUUUAUAAAUAAAUUUAUUUAUUUCUCGAAAAUUAAUGAUCUAAAUGAAAAUUUUAGUUAAUGUAAAAUUAUUAUUAAUAAUUUUUAUUUUGAUAUUAUAUGUAUUUCAUAUUAAUUAUAUCUAGUUAUUUUAUAAAUUAAUUUAAUUAAGAUUUUUAAUAAAUUAAAAUUAAAUUUAUUUAAUUUAAAUAUUUUAAAAAUUAAUUUGUUAGGGGAUUAGCUCUUUCAAAAUUUUUAAAUAAUUAAUUUUAAAUAAUAAUUUUUUAUAAUUAGAAAUUUUAAUAAAUUUAUAAUUUUUAAUAAUUAAUUUAACAUAAAAUUAAUUUAUUUAGUUAUUAAAUAUUUAUAAAAUUUAUAAGUUUAAUUUAUUAAUCUUAUGAAAUUAUGAUAAAAUUAGUAAAUUUUAUUUUAUUUAAGUUUAUAUUUUGAAAUAUAAAAUUAAGGAAUUAGGCAAAAAGUUUUAUUUACCUGUUUAUUAAAAACAUGGUUUUUUGAAAUUAAUUUAAAAUCAAAUCUGCUCAAUGAAUUUAAUUUAAAUAGCUGCAGUAUUUUUGACUGUACUAAGGUAGCAUAAUCAUUUGUCUUUUUAAUAAAGUCUAGAAUGAAUGAUUUAAUAAAAUAAAAUCUGUCUCAAUUUUAUUUAAAUUAAAUUUAAUAUUAAGUUAAAAUUCUUAAAUUAUUAAAAAAGACGAGAAGACCCUAUAGAAUUUAAUAAUUUUUAUGUUUAUUUUAAUUUAAAAAUUAUUUAUUUGGGGAAAAUUUAAAAUUUUAAAAAUUUUUAAAUUAAUUUUUCAAAAAUUAUUGAAUGUUAUUAUCUAAUAUUAUUAAAUUUAAAAUAAAUUACCUUAGGGAUAACAGCGUUAUUUUUUUAGAGAGUUCCUAUUGAUAAAGAAGUUUGCGACCUCGAUGUUGAAUUAAGAUUUAUUAUUUAUGGAGAAAUAAAUUAAUUUAGUCUGUUCGACUAUUAAAAUCUUACAUGAUUUGAGUUUAGAUCGGCGUGAGCCAGAUCGGAUUCUAUCUUUUUAAAAUUGAAAUAAAUUUGUACGAAAGGACUUUUUAUUUAUAAAAUUUAUUUAUAAAAUUGAAUAAAAUUAA